rnacentral:tRNA from 1 species
AAGAUAUUAGAAAAACUAUUUCAUAACUUUGUCAAAGUUAAAUCAC